AUUGAACGCUGGCGGCAUGCCUUACACAUGCAAGUCGAACGGCAGCACGGGAGCAAUCCUGGUGGCGAGUGGCGAACGGGUGAGUAAAGUAUCGGAACGUGCCCAGUCGUGGGGGAUAACGUAGCGAAAGUUACGCUAAUACCGCAUACGAUCUAUGGAUGAAAGCGGGGGAGCGCAAGACCUCGCGCUAUUGGAGCGGCCGAUAUCAGAGUAGGUAGUUGGUGGGGUAAAGGCUCACCAAGCCGACGAGCUGUAGCUGGUCUGAGAGGACGACCAGCCACACUGGGACUGAGACACGGCCCAGACUCCUACGGGAGGCAGCAGUGGGGAAUUUGGGACAAUGGGCGAAAGCCUGAUCCAGCCAUGCCGCGUGCAGGAUGAAGGCCUUCGGGUUGUAAACUGCUUUUGUACGGAACGAAACGGCGAGCUCUAAUACAGUUUGCUAAUGACGGUACCGGAAGAAUAAGCACCGGCUAACUACGUGCCAGCCGCCGCAGUAA
rnacentral:rRNA from 1 species